UACGUAGGGUCCGAGCGUUGUCCGGAUUCAUUGGGCGUAAAGAGCUCGUAGGCGGCUCAGUAAGUCGGAUGUGAAAACUCAGGGCUCAACCCGGAGACGCCAUCUGAUACUGCUGUGGCUUGAGUCUGGUAGGGGAGCACGGAAUUCCUGGUGUAGCGGUGAAAUGCGCAGAUAUCAGGAGGAACACCGGUGGCGAAGGCGGUGCUCUGGGCCAGUACUGACGCUGAGGAGCGAAAGCGUGGGGAGCGAACAGG
rnacentral:rRNA from 1 species